rnacentral:tRNA from 1 species
GCUCCUAUAGCUCAACGGUAGAGCUCAGUACUGUUAAUAUUGUGAUAGAUGUUCAAGUCAUCUUAGGAGCU